GAUGAACGCUGGCGGCGUGCCUAAUACAUGCAAGUCGAGCGAACAGAUGCGUUGCUUUCUCCUCUGACGUUAUCGGCGGCCGGGUGAGUAACACGUGGAUAACCUCCCUCUCAGACUUUGAUAACUUCGGGAAACCGGAGCUAAUACCGGAUAAUAUAUUGAACCUCAUGGUUCAAUAGUGAAAGACGGUUUUGCUGUCACUUAUAGAUGGAUCCGCGCCGCAUUAGCUAGUUGGUAAGGUAACGGCGUACCAAGGCAACGAUGCGUAGCCGACCUGAGAGGGUGAUGGGCCACAAUAGAAGGGAGAAGAGGUGCAGAAGACUACGGGAGGCAGCAGUAGGGAAUCUUACGGAAUGGGCGGAAGAAUGAUGGAGCAACGACGCGUGAGGGAUGAAGGUCUUCGGAGCGUAGAAAUCUGUUAUUAGGGAAGAACAAAGGUGGAAGUAACUAUGCACGGCUUGACGGUACCUAAUCAGAAAGCCACGGCUAACUACGUG
rnacentral:rRNA from 1 species